GAAAAGCCACGAGGAGCCGCAAGCAGGCGUUAAUCCGUGGAUACCCGAAUGGGGCAACCCGGCGGAGCAAAACUCCGUCACCCUAUGCUGAACACAUAGGCAUAGAGGAGGGCACCCGGGGAACUGAAACAUCUAAGUACCCGGAGGAAGAGAAAGAAACAUCGAACCCCCAAGUAGCGGCGAGCGAAAAGGGGCGAGCCUAAACCAGAAUUCUUCGGAAAUCUGGGGUUGCGGGACCUUCAUCACGUAAUUGCUAGUCCUAGUCGAAGCCACCUGGAAAGGUGCUGCAUAGAAGGUAAAACACCUGUAGACGAAAGGACGAAGAUUGCAGAAGGAAUCCCAAGUACUGCGGGACACGAGAAACCCCGUGGGAAUCAGGGGGGACCACCCCCCAAGGCUAAAUACUCUUAGCGACCGAUAGUGAACAAGUACCGUGAG
rnacentral:rRNA from 1 species